AACGAACGCUGGCGGCAUGCCUAACACAUGCCAGUCGAACGAGACCCUCGGGUCUAGUGGCGCACGGGUGCGUAACGCGUGGGAACCUGCCCUUAGGUUCGGAAUAACUCCCCGAAAUGGGUGCUAAUACCGGAUAAUGUCUUCGGACCAAAGAUUUAUCGCCUUUGGAUGGGCCCGCAUUGGAUUAGCUAGUUGGUAGGGUAAAAGCCUAUCAAGGCGAUGAUCCAUAGCUGGUCUGGGAGGAUGAUCAGCCACACUGGGACUGAGACACGGCCCAGACUCCUACGAAAGGCAGCAGUGGGGAAUAUUGGACAACGGGCGAAAGCCUGAUCCAGCAAUGCCGCGUGAGUGAUGAAGGCCUUAGGGUUGUAAAGCUCUUUUACCCGGGAUGAUAAUGACAGUACCGGGAGAAUAAGCUCCGGCUAACUCCGUG
rnacentral:rRNA from 1 species